UUUGAGAAAAAAGUUUGUGUAUUAUUUUUUGAGUGCAAUUGAAAAAAAAGUUUGCUAAUUCAAAAAAUGUUCAUGCAUUUCGAGAAAUGUCCUAAAAUUUUAAGGACGUAAUAUGGUCAACAUCCUUGAAGAUUAUAAUUAUUUUUCUCCCGUUGCAACGCACGGGCCCUUUUGCUAUAAUAAUAAAGCGCGCACAUCUUUUGUCGUCCGUCGUUGCGUUUUUGUGAAAAAGUCCCUGUCAUUUCGGGUAAUUAACCCGCAGUCCCCAAGUC
rnacentral:lncRNA from 1 species